rnacentral:misc_RNA from 1 species
GUGAAGAACGCAGCGAAAUGCGAUACUUGGUGUGAAUUGCAGAAUCCCGCGAAUCAUCGAGUUUUUGAACGCAAGUUGCGCCCGAAGCCAUUCGGCCGAGGGCACGUCUGCCUGGGUGUCACGCAUCGUUGCCCCCCCAAACUCCGGUUCGGGCGGGGCGGAAGUUGGCCUCCCGUGCGUGCCUGCGCGCGCGGUUAGCCCAAAAGCGAGUCCUCGGCGAUGAGCGCCACGACAAUCGGUGGUUUUUUUACCCUCGUUCCUCGUCGUGCGUGCCCCGUCGCCCGAACGCGCUCUUGCAACCCUUACGCGUCGCCUCGGUGGCGCUCCCAACGCGACCCCAGGUCAGGCGGGACUACCCGCUGAGUUUAAGCAUAUCAAUAAGCGGAGGA